UGGAUUAUGACUAUUUUGGCAAGAUAACCCCAUUUUGAACCCGGGCAGUGGUUGGGCAUAGCUCUAUUGGCCAUGAUAGGAACUUCAGAACUACACGGGUGCUACUGGGUGAUAGUAAUGGCUGUGACUACACCCCGUCUACCACUGGUCCAGCAACUUCUUCGCCUCAUUGCCUGCCCCAUCCUCUCCUCAUCACUGUGCAGAUGUUAG
rnacentral:lncRNA from 1 species